rnacentral:rRNA from 1 species
UACGUAGGAGGCGAGCGUUUGUCCGGAAUUACUGGGCGUAAAGAGCGCGUAGGCGGCGCUGUACGACCCGUGUGAAAGCCCCCCGGCUCAACUGGGGAGGGUCACGGGUAACGGCAGUGCUCUGAGUGCAGGAGAGGGAAGUGGAACUCCGGGAGUAGCGGUGAAAUGCGUAGAGACCCGGAGGAACACCGGUGGCGAAGGCGGCUUCCUGGUCUGCAACUGACGCUGUGGCGCGAAAGCUAGGGGAGCAAACGGGGAGUUAGAAAACCCC